rnacentral:rRNA from 1 species
UACGUAGGGGGCAAGCGUUGUCCGGAAUCAUUGGGCGUAAAGCGCGUGUAGGCGGCUUGGUAAGUCCGCUCUGAAAGCCCGGGGCUCAACCCCGGGAGGCGGGUGGAUACUGUCAAGCUUGAGUCCGGAAGAGGCGAGUGGAAUUCCCGGUGUAGCGGUGAAAUGCGCAGAUAUCGGGAGGAACACCUGCGGUGUAGACGGCUUUCUGGACCAUUACUGACGCUGAGACACGAAAGCGUGGGUAGCAAACAGG